AUUGAACGCUGGCGGCAGGCCUAACACAUGCAAGUCGAGCGGAGCGGCGGACGGGUGAGUAAUGCCUAGGAAUCUGCCUGGUAGUGGGGGAUAACGUCCGUCAACGGGCGCUAAUACCGCAUACUCUCGGCGUAGCCUAGGUCGGAUUAGCUAGUUGGUGGGGUAAAGGCCUACCAAGGGGACGAUCCGUAACUGGUCUGAGAGGAUGAUCAGUCAAACUGGAACUGAGAAACGGUCCAGACUCGUACGGUAGGCAGCAGUGGGGAAGAUUGGACAAUGGGCGAAAGCCUGAUCCAGCCAUGCCGCGGGUGUGAAGAAGGUCUUCGGAUUGUAAAGCACUUUAAGUUGGGAGGCGUUACCAACAGAAUAAGCACCGGCUAACUUCGUGCCAGCAGCCGCGGUAAUUC
rnacentral:rRNA from 1 species